CUCGUCCUCGUCACACUUGUAUUUUCCCGCCACUGGCACUCUGGCACCUCACGCACGCCACCAAGCACACACCUACCACCACAGCACCACCCCCGCCCGCGCUCUCAUACCUCCUCAUCCUCGCCCUCACCCUCACACCUCCACUCCUUGCCCCACACGAGUUUGACCUCACCACCACCACCACCGCUGCCGUCUCUCUCCCUCCCUGCUCUCUCUCUCUCUCUCUCUCUCUCUCUCAUCCUCGACCUGACCCUCACACCUCCAGUCCCUGCCCCACACGAGUUUGACCUCACCAACACCACCACCACACCACACCACACUACACCACACCACCGUUUCUCUCUCCUCCUCCUCCGUUUGGUCUCUCUCCCUUCUUGCUCUCAUCACAUACCUCCAUUUAUAUUUUUGGGAUUUUGGUUUAUAUAUCACUGAAUACCACUACACACACACACACACACACACACACCAUUCUCAUUUCACUGUGGCUGAGGUGCUUAUUUUCUUUCUAUCAUUAAAAACAAAUGUGGAUGGUUUUGCUUAACUAAUGAUGGGAUGCUGGCACAGUGUUUUCAGUGACACACACACACACACACACACACACAUCAUUUUCACCAUUGCUUGGUUUAGAAAGCUGAGGUUUGGUUAAUUUUUUUUUCAACCUUUCCAUUUUUCUAUUUUCUAGGCCAGUUGAGUUUUCCACAGUUACCUUUAGUUAAUUAGUCAAGUUGAGGUGCUAGUAGGCCUGGGAGAAUAUGUGACUUGUUGCUAAGAAAUGAGUACAGUGCCACAUUUAGAGAAGUGAUUGGGGUGUGUGUGGGGAAGAAAUGAAAGGAGUCAUACACACACCUCAUUGAAAGUCCACAAGAGUCCAGGGUGCAUAGGUGGAAGCUGCUGUGCCUGCUGAAAAGGGUGUGGAGAAAAGAAAAUAUGUGCUUGUGCAAUGAAAUUCUGUUGGGUGUGGUGUUAGGGUAGGCACAAUCGAAAAGGGUGCGCGUAAGGAAGUUAGUUUUGUGCGUGUUUAGGGUGAUAGAUGGUGCUCUGAAUAGGGUGUGAAGGAGAAAAAGAAUUAUGUACUUGUGCAGUGAAGAAAAUUUGUCGAGUGUGAUGUUAGGGUAGGCACAAUCGAAUAGGGUGCACGUAAGGAAGUUAGUUUUGUGCAUGUAUAGGGUGAGGUAGAUGGUGCUCUGAAUAGGGUGUGAAGGAGAAAAAGAAUUUGCUUGUGCAGUGAAGAAAAUUUGUCGGGUGUGAUGUUAGGGUAGGCAGUGAAUCGAAUAGGAUGCUCAUAGGAAGUUAGGUUUGUGUGUAUAUAGGGUGAGGUAGAUGGUGCUCUGAAUAGGGUGUGAAGGAGAAAAAGAAUUAUGUGCUUGUGCAGUGAAGAAAAUUAUGUUGGGUUUGGUGUUAGGGUAGGCACAAUCGAAUAGGGUGCUCAUAGGAAGUUAGAUUUGUGUGUGUAUAGGGUGAGGUAGAUGGUGCUCUGAAUAGGGUGUGAAGGAGAAAAAGAAUUAUGUGCUUGUGCAGUGAAGAAAAUUAUGUUUGGUUUGGUGUUAGGGUAGGCAGUGAAUCGAAUAGGAUGCUCAUAGGAAGUUAGGUUUGUGCGUGUAUAGGGUGAGGUAGAUGGUGCUCUGAAUAGGGUGUGAAGGAGAAAAAGAAUUAUGUGCUUGUGCAGUGAAGAAAAUUAUGUUGGGUUUGGUGUUAGGGUAGGCAGUGAAUCAAAUAGGGUGCUCAUAGGAAGUUAGGUUUGUGCAUGUAUAGGGUGAGGUAGGUGGUGUUUUGAAUAGGGUGUGAUGGAGAAAAAGAAAUAUGUGCUUGUGCAGUGAAGAAAAUUUGUUAAGUGUGAUGUUAGGGAAGGCAGUGAAUCAAAUAGGGUGCUCAUAGGAAGUUAGUUUUGUGCGUGUUUAGGAUGAGGUAGAUGGUGUUCUGACUAGGGUGUGAUGGAGAAAAAAUGUGUGUUUGUGGUGCAGUGAAGAAAUUUUGUAGGAUCCGAAUAGGGUGCUUGUAAGGAACAUAGGGUGGGUGAGUAGGAUGAGAUAGAGGGUGGUAUAGAGAGGAAGUAAACAGGGUCCUAAAGCAGUGAAGAUGAAGUUUGCCUGUGAAUUUGCUGUAGUUCAGUCAGGGCAAGCAUUGACUACAUAGGAAGCAUGUUUUUAAUAGGUUAGUGUGUGAAUAGGGUGGGAUAUUUUGAAUGCAAGGUGAUCUUCUUUGAGGUAUAGUGAAGAAAAGACUAAAAAGACUGGUGUUAUUUUAUUUUUCUGUGUAGGUUAGGGUGGAGUGAGGAUGGAUGAGGUGUAAUGUUGCUAAGAGAUCAGUUUUCUUGAAUAGGUUAUGAAAAAGUAUAUAUACAUAGUGUGAUGUUGCCAAGAAAAAUCUGUGAAUGUUGAUUAGGGUGUAAUGUUGAUGGAAAGAGGGAAAAAAUGCUGAGGUAGGUUACGAAAAAUGAUCGGCUGCAGUGUUCUAGAAAAUAAUUUAAUAUGAAGCAGGAAAGUGGAUAUUCAUUGAGCUGGAACUUUUGGGAAAAAAGUGCAUAAUCGAAUUUCCUGCUAAGCUUUGGGCCUGUUGUAAUGUGGAGUGAAACAUGAAAAGGUUAAAUGUUGUGAAAGGCAGAUUUCCUUAUAAACUGGUGCUUAUUUGGGUACUUCAUUGUUGUGUUAUCUAUGUAAGAAGUUUUUUGAGAUAGAUAAUCAAUAAGCUUAGUUAAUGAGUUGGGAUCUAAAAAUAAUAGUCAGUGUUAGUGUUUUAUCAACUUUUGUCCUGUCCUGUGAUAAGGUUUUGAACUAAAGGAAACGCAAGAAAUGGCUUCCUUGCACGAGCUUAAUGCAUCAAGUGUCAGGAGUAGCACCUUCAGUUUCUGCUGCAUAGGAAUGGGUUUCUGUGUGAUGGGGAAGAUGAAUGCAUUAGUGUGUGUUAGGGGUAGAUGAAUUAGUGAGUUUGUGUUAAAAGUCAAGCUAUAUUUAGGGGGCUACAGAGAUUUUUGUUCUGUUGUAACCAGCUUGGAUUUAUUUUGGGUCCAAAGUAGAAACAUUUAUCUUUGUUAUUAGUAAAUGGGUUGUGGUUAGGUUGAGUUAAGUUAGGUUUAGUACUUCAGUGUUAAUAAGUCAGGCUCUAUUUAGGAUACUACAGAAUUUUUUGCAUUAUCGUAACAAACACGGCUGUAUUUGGGUCCAGGAGUAGGAACUUUAGUCUUGUUCUUAGAAAAUGGGUUGUGGGGUUGGAAAGUAAUAUACAUAGGGUAGUAUUAAGGUCAAGCUAUAUUUAGGAUGCCUCAGAGUUCUUGAUUAAUAGGUCGAGAUAAAUUUUAGAUGCUGUAGAGUUUUUGGUUGUGUAUUGGUGCCUGACAGUCUUGUGUUAUCUAGUUUGGAUCCUUUGCUUAUAAAAACUGUGGCACAUGUUGGGAAGUGUGUGUGUCAGUGCCCCCCCCAUCUCAUGUAUACUAAUCAGGGAAAGUACAUGCGAUCCUCUUUCACGCAAUUAUUUUUAGCGCCCAGAAAGUUGAGUGGCUUAAAAAUUAUCGACAUCAAAUUUUCCUUCAUUCGUUUAUACUUACAGUGAAAUAUAGCAUCUGAUAAUUACCUAAGAGGAUGGGUUUUCCUCUGUCGAUAUUGGAUGGGGUUAAUUUUGGGUUAUCUUUUGCGGUUUGUUGUGUAAAGGUGAACUUUUCAUGAUAUAGGAAGUUCAUUA